rnacentral:rRNA from 1 species
UACAGGGGGUGCAAACGUUGCUCGGAAUCAUUGGGCGUAAAGCGCACGUAGGCGGUUCGUUAUGUCGGAUGUGAAAGCCCUUGGCUUAACCGAGGAAGUGCAUCCGAAACUGGCGAGCUAGAGUACUAAAGAGGAUCGCGGAAUUCCCGGUGUAGAGGUGAAAAUUCGUAGAUAUCGGGGAGGAACACCGGUGGCGAAGGCGGCGAUCUGGGGUAG